rnacentral:lncRNA from 1 species
UGGAAGAGCUUGGUCUGGGUGAUGUUGAUGAUCUGGAAGAUGCAUCGGACUGGGACUCAGCCAGUACUGCCAGUAUGGGAGCCCUGUCUGGUCACAGGGUGGCGUCCCCUGUAGUUAAGAAAAUACCAGAGUGCUCCAGUUCAUCUGAUAAGGACCAGGAAAAAGAUGAUGUUACCACAGCAACACUGACGCAUCAGAAGAGCAUCAGCCCAGACAAGACACUGCCCAUCACACACUCUCAAUCUGUUCCCCAGCCCCAACCUCGUACACGGAAGACGGUCCCUCAGAAACUAGAGAGUGAAGAAGAAUCUGAUUGGGAAACCGAAAACAUAACAUCUUGCAAAACAGCUCAAAAUGACAAUCCGCUACAAAAUAUGGCUGAGCCUCAAGCAACAGUUAAACCAAGGUCCGCUGACCCCUCACUGAUGGAGAAAGACAGUGAAAUCAUCACAGAAUUUGAAGAGCAGCAACAAAAGAUUGGAAAAGGGAGAACAGAAAUCGAGGUUGAGGUACAAAAAUCAAGUACUUCCCAGGUUACUAGUGGAAUAGCAUUGGAGGAAACUGGUAUGGGGAAACCUGAGACCAGCUUAGGAUGCCUGUCAAAUCAAGCUGAAGCACUUGACCAGGAGCAGCAGCCCGAGGCCGCCAUGAGUUUGGCAGCAAGUGGACCAAAGAAGGAUAAGG